rnacentral:lncRNA from 1 species
CGUUUAUUUUAUGUAAUAAAAGAAGCUUUCUGGGUUUGAAAACUACAACGAUAAAAAAUAACAUACAUUUAUAAGUAUUGUUUCUGAUUGCCUAUUUCCCCUUAAACAAUUGACAUGGUUACCUUGAUAAUCUCAAUUUGCCACUAAAAGUUUGUUUGAUAGUCUUGAAUCUUCUGUUGAAACUAUUAACAUACGAAGAUACUAGUUGUUUCAUUGCCAAUCACACAACAUCUCUAUAUUAUUUCUACCUCUCUCUCUCUGUCCCUAAUCAAAAUUAAUUAGUCCUUUCCACGUUUUCCAAGUAAAAUGGUUCGUCUUAGCAGGGUGAAAUGCAAAAGCGCAUGAACUAUACGAAACAAUAUGAGAAAUAUCUAAGCGACAUAUUAAGAAACAAACAUUUAUCUUAAGAACAAAAUUUGGCAGAAGAAGAAAAAAAAUAAAAAUAAUAAUAAUAAUCAGAACAAAUACAAUAGGUCUUUCCACAGAAAAGUGGAAAGACCUGAUAAUAAUCAGAAAGAAUACAAUAAGUCUUUCCACAGAAAAGUGGAAAGACUAAUAAUCAGACGAAAUACAACAGGUCUUUCCACAGAAAGUGAAAAGACCUAAUAAUAAUAAUUAUUAUAAUCAGUACAAAUACAAUAGGUCUUUCCAAAGAAAAGUUGAAAGACCUAAUAAUCAGAAGAAAUACAAUAGGUCUUUCCAUAGAAAAGUGGAAAGACCUGAUAAUCAGAAGAAAUACAAUAAGUCUUUCCACAGAAAAGUGCAAACACUUAAUAAUAAUAAUAACAAUCCGAAC